GACGAUUAUAAUUUUCACUUACAAUGAAAGAUACCCUUUAGGGCGUUUUUAUAUAGUUAAGAAUCUAAU
rnacentral:tRNA from 1 species